UACGGGGGGUGCAAGCGUUGUUCGGAAUUAUUGGGCGUAAAGAGCGUGUAGGCGGUUUGUUAAGUCUGAUGUGAAAGCCCUGGGCUCAACCCAGGAAGUGCAUUGGAAACUGGCAGACUUGAAUACGGGAGAGGGCAGUGGAAUUCCUAGUGUAGGAGUGAAAUCCGUAGAUAUUAGGAGGAACACCGGUGGCGAAGGCGGCUGCCUGGACCAAUUCUGACGCUGAGGAGCGAAAGCCAGGGGAGCAAACGGG
rnacentral:rRNA from 1 species